rnacentral:rRNA from 1 species
GGGAUAUGCGGCGCGAAUUCGCCCUUACUCCUACGGUGAGGCAGCAGUGGAGGAAUAUUGAGACAAUGGCGGGCAACCCUGAUCCAGCAAUGCCGCGUGUGUGAAGAAGGCCUUCGGGUUGUAAAGCACUUUCAGUGGGGACAAACAAGGCGGAGCUAACACCUCCGUCCCUGAUGGUACCCAAAGAAGAAGCACCGGCUAACUCUGUGCCAGCAGCCGCGGUAAUACAGAGGGUGCAAGCGUUAAUCGGAAUUACUGGGCGUAAAGCGUGCGUAGGUGGUUUGUUAAGUCAGGUGUGAAAUCCUCGGGCUCAACCCGGGAACUGCGCUUGAUACUGGCAGACUCGAGUGUGGUAGAGGAUAGUGGAAUUCCCGGUGUAGCGGUGAAAUGCGUAGAUAUCGGGAGGAACAUCAGUGGCGAAGGCGGCUAUCUGGACCAACACUGACACUGAGGUACGAAAGCGUGGGUAGCAAACAGGAUUAGAUACCCUGGUAGUCCACGCCGUAAACUAUGGGUGCUAGCCGUCGGGGAGCUUGCUCUUCGGUGGCGCAGCUAACGCUUUAAGCACCCCGCCUGGGGAGUACGGUCGCAAGAUUA